rnacentral:rRNA from 1 species
AUCCUGGCUCAGAUUGAACGCUGGCGGCAGGCCUAACACAUGCAAGUCGAGCGGUGGAGAGGUGCUUGCAUCUCUUGAGAGCGGCGGACGGGUGAGUAAUGCCUAGGAAUCUGCCUAGUGGUGGGGGAUAACGUUCGGAAACGGACGCUAAUACCGCAUACGUCCUACGGGAGAAAGCGGGGGAUCUUCGGACCUCGCGCCAUUAGAUGAGCCUAGGUCGGAUUAGCUAGUUGGUGAGGUAAUGGCUCACCAAGGCGACGAUCCGUAACUGGUCUGAGAGGAUGAUCAGUCACACUGGAACUGAGACACGGUCCAGACUCCUACGGGAGGCAGCAGUGGGGAAUAUUGGACAAUGGGCGAAAGCCUGAUCCAGCCAUGCCGCGUGUGUGAAGAAGGUCUUCGGAUUGUAAAGCACUUUAAGUUGGGAGGAAGGGUAGUAACCUAAUACGUUGCUACUUUGACGUUACCGACAGAAUAAGCACCGGCUAACUUCGUG